rnacentral:piRNA from 1 species
AUAGCUAAGUAGGGUCUUGAGGAUGC